ensembl:snoRNA SNORA73 Small nucleolar RNA SNORA73 family
CCAAUGUGGACACCCUCUGAGGUUGCUCUCAUGAGGCUCUGUUCAUGUGGCAUAUAGGAGCAUAGCACAUUUGUGCCAUGAUGUAUAAUCCCAUUCCAUGACAUUGGAGAGUAAGCUUGUCCCCUGCCCUUUGGGCAGUUGUGGAUAGCAUCCUGUAUAUUCCUACAUCUUCCCAGAGUCCUUGGACAAUUACUGGGGAGGUAAACCAUGCAGGUUACAUGU